rnacentral:rRNA from 1 species
UACGUAGGGGCAAGCGUUGUCCGGAUUUAUUGGGCGUAAAGAGCGUGUAGGCGGCCAUGCAGGUCAGCUGUGAAAACUCGAGGCUCAACCUCGAGACGUCGGUUGAAACCGUAUGGCUAGAGUCCGGAAGAGGAGAGUGGAAUUCCCGGUGUAGCGGUGAAAUGCGCAGAUAUCGGGAAGAACACCUAUGGCGAAGGCAGCUCUCUGGGACGGUACUGACGCUGAGACGCGAAAGCGUGGGGAGCGAACAGG